rnacentral:lncRNA from 1 species
GCCGCCACCGCCUCAGGGAAGAGGAAGGAGGCCGCGGCUUCGCGUCCCGCCUCUCGCCUGGCUGGCCGUGGGGGGCCUGGACGCAGUGGCCUCCCGAAUCUCCCAGGACCCUAAUAUCGCCCGAGGAUGCUGGGAGGAACGCUGAGCCGACCUCUCCGUUAGGCUGAAGAUUGCACAAACCAUGCUAAUGGCCAGCAUGGAUGGAGGGAGCGUGUGAGAUGUGUGGGGCAGCGUGCUGCAUCUCAGCCAACUCCAGGAGGAAUAAGGGAGAUGAUGACCAUGUAACUUGGAAAAUUUGGUUUGGGGCAAAUGAUAUGCUACAUGAUACAUUUCCUGCUAUGGAGAAUGGCAUGAACAAAAGAGGGAAGAAAGGUAAUCCAAGUGGUCUUCAGUAAGAACGCCUUAGCCUCCGAAAGCCUGAUGGAACGAAGUCUGUUUGUGGAAACACCCUUCCCCUCUGUUUACUUGGACCUGAUUUUGAAAGUAACAAGUCACUUUAUUUGGGCUGGAGGAAAAAGCACUAAACCAGAUGUUGAGGUGACCGGGAUUCCUGGAAGACAUUCUUCUCUCCAACGAGACACAUGAUGCAUGAAGUAGGAGCCCCUGGCAAGGAGCCCAGGCUGCCAUGGCCUCGCUCGCUCCUGCUUCCCGGCAUGGCCCCGAGGCUAGCUGCCUCUGUACUGCCUGAGCAUCGUCCCCUGGCGUGUCACCAGACUACCCACUACCUGUGCUUGCACCUGCAGGUGGGCAGUUCAGUCGUUGCAGGCUGAAGCUCCCUGUCACAGGAGUCCAUCAGCACUGGAGUUUACCAAAUGGCCCAGUCCAGGAAGCAUGCUCAUGGCAAUACCCGGAGUCUCCACUGCAAGACCAGAGUGACGGAGGCAGCAGAGCUCCUCAGCAGGCCAGGAGUCUCCAGAGGCACUGCCGAAUGUCUAAGAAGCAACCUCAUUGUAUUCCCAAGACCUGGGAAUCCAGGUCUCGCAGAUACGAUGAUACAAUCUAUAGCCAGGACAUCUCUUCAUGUGUAGGAUAAGCAACUAUCCCAGUCUUCCCAGGAUUGAGGGGCUUCUCCAGAUGCUGCACUUCUGGUGCUAAAAAUGAGAAACUGAAAUGAAUUAGUCACCCAAGGAAUGCUGACCCUGUGCUAUAUGAUCACAUUUACUCUUUAAAGCAAUGCUUUGAGAACAAUUGAGCUGCAUAGUCCCUGCAAUCUUAUAAAGGCAUUUGGCCUGGAAGAUGCUCUGCAGCCAUGUGCCAAGAAUAACGGCUAUAGGGACAAUGUUUCAUUAACCCCAAAGCAGCAACCUGAACCUCUUACUGUACAAUAUCUGCUCCGUUCAGAAUUAGCUCGACUUGAGUCACAGGAUGAAGCUUACCAAAAGGAAUUUCCACGUCCAAGGAAGGAACCAAGAUCACUGAGAGGUUAUAGUAUGAAAAGUGAAGAGAAAAAACCUAUUCUAAACAUUUUAUUAAUUGUCAAUAAUUAUUUUAAAAUAUUUAAUAUAGUCUCCUACCUGGUCCACUGGCAUCAAGCUGCCAAAUUUACACGGUCACUUUGGGAAGCCAGCUGGCAGGCAAACAUGGAAAGUGCUGGCUCCUAGCGUAGUGAGAAGACCACAGAUAGAUGGUAAUUUUCUUCUUUGUUUUAUUUUUCUUUUUCUUCUCUCCCUCUUUUUCUUCCCUCUUGCCUUUCCCUCCCAUUGCCCACUUUCUUUUUUUGGCUGCCGAAGAUUUAUUGCCUUUCAGUACUUAUAGAUGAUGUUUUCAUAAGUUCUAAUGAGGUCCCAGCAGUUUUUAACAAUAACAGGACAUUACUGUUCCUAAGAUAUAUUAUGUGUUUUCCCUCAUCUUUCUCCCUUGAAUGAAAUGCUUAGAAGUAGGCUAACCCCCAAUUCCCUUCCCUUUACUAUGAUAAAUGGCUCCAUUACUUAAUAGGGCUAAAUACUCUGCUGUGACUUUUAUACUGCUGAUUUGAAUAAAAUCUUACGAAAA